rnacentral:rRNA from 1 species
GACGAACGCUGGCGGCGUGCUUAACACAUGCAAGUCGAGCGGUAAGGCCCUUUCGGGGGUACACGAGCGGCGAACGGGUGAGUAACACGUGGGUGACCUGCCCUUAGCUCUGGGAUAAGCCUGGGAAACUGGGUCUAAUACCGGAUAUGACUCCAUGACGCAUGUUGUGGGGUGGAAAGCCUUGUGCGGCUAGGGAUGGGCCCGCGGCCUAUCAGCUUGUUGGUGGGGUGAUGGCCACCAAGGCGACGACGGGUAGCCGGCCUGAGAGGGCGACCGGCCACACUGGGACUGAGACACGGCCCAGACUCCUACGGGAGGCAGCAGUGGGGAAUCUUGCGCAAUGGGCGAAAGCCUGACGCAGCGACGCCGCGUGGGGAUGACGGCCUCGUGU